rnacentral:misc_RNA from 1 species
AAACUGCGAUAAGCAAUGCUAAUUGCAGAAUACCGCUAGUCAUCUGAUAUUCGAACGCAACUGGUGCUAUAGGGACUCUCCUCUCAACUUGCUUGUUUCAGAGUAUUUGUUUCCAUUCACACAGCUAAAUGCGAUUUGAGAGUCCUAAGCAUCUCUCUCGUAAAACACUAGAGUCGGAGUAGUCUAUAAACGCGCCAACUAAGCGAUCACAUUGCAAAAGGUGAUUUCGUUGCAAGUGCACCUCUAAGCCGCUUACCAAAACCAACAACUCUAAACCAGCACCUGAAAUCAAGAACGAUCACCCGCUGAACUCAAGC